UUGCGGUUAAAAAGCUCGUAGUUGGAUUUCUGUCGGUGAGUGAAAGUCCGCUCUCAGUGGUUGGUACUUUUCACGCCACCGGCAUCUUCCUGGGGACUGUGUCUGAUCUUAGUUGAUUGGCGCAUAAUCCAGGACUUUUACUUUGAAGAAAUGAGAGUGUUUCAAGCAGGCCAUCGCCGUGAAUACGUUAGCAUGGAAUAAUAGCAUCGGACCUCGUUCCAAAGCUGUUGGUUUCUUGGACCGAGGUAAAGGUGAAUAGGGAUUGUUGGGGGCAUUCGUAUUUAACUGUCAGAGGUGAAAUUCUUGGAUUUGUUGAAGACGGACUACUGCGAAAGCAUCUGCCAAAGAUGUUCUCAUUGAUCAAGAACGAAAGUUAGGUGAUCGAAGACCGAUCAGAUACCCGUCCUAGUCUUAACCAUAAACUAUGCCCGACUGGAGAUCGGGGGU
rnacentral:rRNA from 1 species